GAUGAAGAACGUAGCGAAAUGCGAUACUUGGUGUGAAUUGCAGAAUCCCGUGAACCAUCGAGUCUUUGAACGCAAGUUGCGCCCGAAGCCAUUAGGCCGAGGGCGCGCCUGCCUGGGCGUCACACGUCGUUGCCCCCCCAUCUACUCCUUCGGGAUUGCGGGGGGCGGAUGAUGGCCUCCCGUGCGCCUCGCCGCGCGGUUGGCAUAAAUGCCAAGUCCUCGGCGACGCACGCCACGACAAUCGGUGGUUGCGAAACCUCGGUUGCCCGUCGUGUGCGGUCGUCGCGCAUCGAGGGCUCGAAAAAAUUGCCGGGUUCCGGCUCGGCUUUCAACGCGACCCCAGGUCAGGCGGGGUUACCCGCUGAAUUUAAGAAUAUCAAUAAGCGGAUGA
rnacentral:misc_RNA from 1 species